rnacentral:rRNA from 1 species
UACGAAGGGGGCUAGCGUUGCUCGGAAUCACUGGGCGUAAAGGGUGCGUAGGCGGGUUUUUAAGUCAGGGGUGAAAUCCUGGAGCUCAACUCCAGAACUGCCUUUGAUACUGAAGAUCUUGAAUGCUGUGGAGGUAAGCAGAAUAUGUCAUGUAGCGGUGAAAUGCUUAGAGAUGACAUAGAAUACCUAUUGCGAAGGCAGCUUACUACGCAGAUAUUGACGCUCAUGCACGAAAGCGUGGGGAUCAAACAGG